rnacentral:rRNA from 1 species
GUCCACGCCCUAAACGAUGCGAACUGGACGUUGGGAGCAACUAGGCUCUCAGUGUCGAAGCUAACGCGUUAAGUUCGCCGCCUGGGGAGUACGGUCGCAAGACUGAAACUCAAAGGAAUUGACGGGGCCGCACAAGCGGUGGAGUAUGUGGUUUAAUUCGAUGCAACGCGAAGAACCUUACCUGGUCUUGACAUCCACGGAAUCCUUCAGAGAUGAGGGAGUGCCUUCGGGAACCGUGAGACAGGUGCUGCAUGGCUGUCGU